rnacentral:lncRNA from 1 species
GAGAAUGAACGUGUCCGAAAGACAGACAGAAGCCCGGGGACCGACGUCCGUGGGAGCUUCUCCCGCACUGCAGAAGAUGAACAUCUAAGACUGGUUUAGACAAACUGAUGUAGAGAAAAAUAAGAAACAUCAAAACAUACCGUGCCGUGACCUGGGCUUUAAUCCUCAUGAGGCCACACUGUUCAGAAUCGGCUGAGGGACUCUGUGGCAUUUCGGGGUGUCCUUGCUGACAGGGUAUUUGGCGGCCCCCGAGUUACCUCCUCAGCGGCGGCAGCCGUGGGGGACCCUGCAGCAGCUGUAGUGGUGUGGGACUUGGUAGCGGGGUCCUGACGGCGGAGGACCCAGCACGUCUGUUCUCAGCGGAGCGGCUGCCCAUCUCCCCCUCCCCUCCCCUCCCCCUUCUCUGCCCUCUGGGGGCUCCGCUGUGGGUGGGGGUGGCACCCCAGCCCUGCACGGGCGCUCUUUUCCCUUUCCUGUAUGCCUUGAUGAUUGUUAAUAAAACUUCUUCAAAGUUGGUUUUCC